CGGUAAGAGUCUCGCUUCUUUCCUUCUGAGGAGGAAAUGACUUCCUACAGCUAGCUGACCAGGAGUUCGCGCUCACCCUGCCCGGAGCCAGGAUCCGGAGUGUGCCCAGAUGCGGACCAAAACGCAGCUUCAGGUAAAGACAAGAAGACUCAAGAGGAAUUAAGCAGUGCAUACUUUAUAUGUACCUGCUUGAUGCAAAUGAAUCCUUUGACCUUGGAAG